rnacentral:rRNA from 1 species
UUGUCUUUUAAAUAAAGACCAGUAUGAAUGGCAAGACGAAAGUUCAACUGUCUCCCUAAAUUAAUCAAUGAAAUUGAUCUUCCCGUGCAGAAGCGGGAAUAAAAUUAUAAGACGAGAAGACCCUAUGGAGCUUUAAAUAUAUGAUCAACUGUAUAGUAUAAAAUUCAAUAGAUAAAACAUUUAAUAAAACACUAUGAUCAAAAUUUUAGGUUGGGGCGACCACGGAGAAAAACAAAACCUCCGAGAUGAAAAGAGUAUCUUAAUUUAUGAACCACAGUUCUAAUAAAUAAAAUAUUUAACAUAAUUGAUCCAAUAUAUUGAUCAACGAACUAAGUUACCCUAGGGAUAACAGCGCAAUCCUUUCCAAGAGUCCCUAUCGACGAAUGGGUUUACGACCUCGAUGUUGGAUCAGGACACCCCAAUGGUGCAGCCGCUAUUAAAGGUUCGUUUGUUCAACGAUUAAAGU